rnacentral:rRNA from 1 species
GACGUAGGGCGCGAGCGUUGUCCGGAUUUAUUGGGCGUAAAGAGCUCGUAGGCGGUUUGUCGCGUCGUUCGUGAAAACUCACAGCUUAACUGUGAGCUUGCGGUCGAUACGGGCAGGCUAGAGUUCGGUAGGGGAGACUGGAAUUCCUGGUGUAGCGGUGAAAUGCGCAGAUAUCAGGAGGAACACCGGUGGCGAAGGCGGGUCUCUGGGCCGAUACUGACGCUGAGGAGCGAAAGCAUGGGGAGCGAACAGG